CUAAGUCCAGGUUUUCUAUAUCGAUUAACGGCAGUUUAGAAGCGUACUUCAAAGGGGCAAAAGGGAUUAGACAAGGAGACGCUUUGUGCCCUUACAUCUUUGUGAUGGCCAUGGAUGUGCUAUCAAGGUUACUAGAUAAAGCAACAACUAGCCAAAUAUUUCAUUACCAUCCUAGGGCCUGAAAGAUAAAACUCAUGUUUUGUAGAUGAUCUUCUCAUUUUUGUCGAAGGAAAGCUUGAGUCUAUUGUUGGAGUUCAGUGCAUUCUUGAAUAG
rnacentral:lncRNA from 1 species